rnacentral:ncRNA from 2 species
GGUCCCGCCUCGGGGAGCCCGUCACGGGCUGAGACGCGCACCCUGCGCGGACCCGUUGAACCUGAACCAGGUCGUGCUGGCGGAGGGAAGGUCCGGGUUCAUCCA